CAGACAGACAGGUAGAUAAGAUGUUUUUACUGACCUUCACCUUUGACUUCAAGGUACCUUGUCACGGCCAUGAUCAUCCAGUAUUAACAUAUUUAUGUAUUCUGCCUUGCUUUCCUCUCUCAAAUAAUCUACCCCGCCCCUACUUUUGCUUUUCUUCCUUUGUGAUGCAUUUAAUGCUUUGACUGAAUGCAUUUUAUCACUGCAUGUUCUAAAUGUGCAGCCAUUUUAACGAUGUCAUGCUUGAGAAUGAAAUACCAGAUCUCAUGCGGUUGAUUGGUAUAAAGAUAGGCUUAAUUUUUAAAAUAAUUAUUAAAUACAUGUAAUGCGCCACAUACACGUUUAUAUUUUAUUUGGCAUUGCUGCCUUUUUGCCUUUUUUGAAAAGAAAGAGAUGAGGUAAGUGCCUCAAACACACUGCUACCAAUAUUAAUUUGUGCUUAUUAAUUAAGUUCUUCUUUUGUUCCAUUCCUCAUCGGCCCUCACUUCAUUUCCUUUUCUUAAUAUUGCAGUCUUGUUCAGUUGCCUUUACUGGCACGUACCACAGCCCCUAAUCUGUUUACUUCCUUCCCCUAAUUUCUCUCCCACUUCAUCUCUCUGUCUUUAAUUACAGUAUUUCUCACUCUAACUGCUAACAUCUCUCUCUCUCUCUCUCUCUCUCUCUCUCUCUCUCUCACACACACACACACACAUUGUGUAUAUCUUUCUGUCUAUUUUUCCUGACCCCCUUUACUCUUUUUUUCCUCCCCUUCACUGAAGUGCAAAGGGAACCCUCCGUACCAUCUCAACCCCAGUGUGUGCUGUUUCCCCAGCAACAGAGACACUAAAAAUAGGCCUGUCUCCAAUACUCCUGACAUUUCUGGUGCAUGCUUCCUCCAGUUCUACAAGGCAACACCACACUGUUUACCCAUGACAUGUGCUCUUACAACAGCUUCUCUCUCCAGAGUCGAGCCUUACUGGUCUUGAAUGAAACAGCAUGAAAGAGGAGCCAUAAUUAUCUGCUAACCACAAUCAAGACUUUUUUUAACCGUUAUAAUGCAACUACUGCAUCUCCACAUACAGUAUAAGUGCCUUCUUGGGGAUGCACUUGACAGCAACGAGGCGCUGAGUGCUCUUCUCCUCAGCCAGCACCACCUCAGAGAACGCCCCCCUGUAAAAGAAGCCAAGAAGAGGGGGAAGCAAACAACUCAUGUGAGACCAGUUCUGCUGUGAUGACUGUGCUUGGUUUGGAUAAUAGAGCUGGAUGUGGGGAUUGCAUUAAAGGACGACAAAGACAGACAGAGCUGCUUUAUAUCAGUACUGAAAUAUCUGCUGGCUGAAUAAAAACAGCCAAAUCACAAAUGUUGCCAAUGAAGGAGAAUUCCAAUUUCCAAUUCCAAUGUUUAAGCAGUGGCAUCGAUUGCCACUGCUUAAACACCUCCAACUGAAAAAGAGUUAACAGUGUGAAAUGAACACCUAAAGUGUUAAACUGGUCUCAGAUGGAUGCUGCAUGUUAACACGGUUACACAUAAAAGCUGUAGGUGAUAAUAUAAUUCUAAUAACUUUACUGUGCAUGUAAUGAAAAGCCUAGUGUUAUUGGGGGAAAAUGUCAUUUUGUUUAUAUCAUUUCUUUUCAGAAAAAAACAGGACACAAUAAAUAAACAUGUCAGAUUAUCAUAUAGCCACUUGGAUUAAACAAUUGGGUGGAUAAAAUAUGCAAUGUAGUGUAUCUAUUCUGUACAGUC